GCGUUCAGCAGACGCGGAGGGACAUUACCGAGUUAUACAACUCAUCAACCCUGUGAACAUACCUAUAACGUUGCCUCGGCGGGAACAGACGGCCCCGUAACACGGGCCGCCCCCGCCAGAGGACCCCCUAACUCUGUUUCUAUAAUGUUUCUUCUGAGUAAACAAGCAAAUAAAUUAAAACUUUCAACAACGGAUCUCUUGGCUCUGGCAUCGAUGAAGAACGCAGCGAAAUGCGAUAAGUAAUGUGAAUUGCAGAAUUCAGUGAAUCAUCGAAUCUUUGAACGCACAUUGCGCCCGCCAGUAUUCUGGCGGGCAUGCCUGUUCGAGCGUCAUUACAACCCUCAGGCCCCCGGGCCUGGCGUUGGGGAUCGGCGGAAGCCCCCUGCGGGCACAACGCCGUCCCCCAAAUACAGUGGCGGUCCCGCCGCAGCUUCCAUUGCGUAGUAGCUAACACCUCGCAACUGGAGAGCGGCGCGGCCACGCCGUUAACACCCAACUUCUGAAUGUUGACCUCGAAUCAGGUAGGAAUACCCGCUGAACUUAAGCAUAUCAUAGAACCGAAGGAA
rnacentral:rRNA from 1 species